rnacentral:rRNA from 1 species
GAUGAACGCUGGCGGCGUGCUUAACACAUGCAAGUCGAACGGAAAGGCUCCUGCUUGCAGGGGUACUCGAGUGGCGAACGGGUGAGUAACACGUGGGUGAUCUGCCCUGCACUUCGGGAUAAGCCUGGGAAACUGGGUCUAAUACCGGAUAGGACCACAUUUUGGAUGGUGUGGUGGAAAGUUUUUCGGUGUGGGAUGAGCUCGCGGCCUAUCAGCUUGUUGGUGGGGUAAUGGCCUACCAAGGCGUCGACGGGUAGCCGGCCUGAGAGGGUGUACGGCCACAGUGGGACUGAGAUACGGCCCAGACUCCUACGGGAGGCAGCAGUGGGGAAUAUUGCACAAUGGGCGCAAGCCUGAUGCAGCGACGCCGCGUGGGGGAUGACGGCCUUCGGGUUGUAAACUCCUUUCGCUAGGGACGAAGCGUUUUUGUGACGGUACCUGGAGAAGAAGCACCGGCUAACUACGUG